AUCUCAUUUCUGGAGAACAUCCUGUCUUAUAUUUUACAAACUGAAGUAAUUCCAUCAGCCAAUGCUAAACUAUCCAAAGGAUUCCCUCUUCCCAAUUUGGCCAAUGUUACCUUCACAAGACCUCGUAUUACUAUCGCACAGGGAUAUGUGUUGAUUUCUACCGACGCUCACUACAGGCACUGAAGGAGAAGAAUCACCGCCUGUUAGGCGUGAUGAACCUCAAAUUAAUAACGGGACUGUUGAAAUAAAGCCUUGUCUA
rnacentral:lncRNA from 1 species